rnacentral:rRNA from 1 species
GGCGUAAAUCGAGCGUAGGCGUUUUUUAAGUUUGAUGUGAAAGCCCCCGGCUCAACCGUGGAGGGUCAUUGGAAACUGGAAAACUUGAGUGCAGAAGAGGAAAGUGGAAUUCCAUGUGUAGCGGUGAAAUGCGCAGAGAUAUGGAGGAACACCAGUG